rnacentral:rRNA from 1 species
AUUGAACGCUGGCGGCAGGCCUAACACAUGCAAGUCGAACGAGUGGCGGACGGGUGAGUAAUGUCUGGGAAAAUGCCCGAUGGAGGGGGAUAACAACUGGAAAAGGUAGCUAAUACCGCAUACAAUCGGAUGUGCCACGAGGGGAUUAGCUAGUAGUGGGGGGAACGGCUCACCUAGGCGACGAUCCCUAUCUGGUCUGAGAGGAUGACAAGCCACACUGGAACUGAGACACGGUCCAGACUCCUACGGGAGGCAGCAGUGGGGAAUAUUGCACAAUGGGCGCAAGCCUGAUGCAGCCAUGCCGCGUGUAUGAAGAAGGCCUUCGGGUUGUAAAGUACUUUCAGCGAGGAGGCGUUACUCGCAGAAGAAGCACCGGCUAACUCCGUGCCAGCAGCCGCGGUAAUUC